UGCCGCAUCCCCCGCUUCUGGCCGGCUGAACUGCCAGCACAAUCUCUGUCUCUCUCUCCGGGGGGGGCUGCCCAGACAUCUCAAAUCUCGUCAACCCCUGCAUGUUCUCCUCCACCUCUGUAGCUUUUGGGGCUCCCGGCCUCCUCCCUGUCAUGGCCUCCCCCUCCCCCACCCAGACACAGCUGGGCAGGGGAGAGGUCGGACCUUACUCACCCACGCCGGAUUCCCAAAGAGGAAGUUCUCUGGGAAUCUCCUGCUUUUAACCCCCGUGUGUUCUCAGAGGCGUAUCCAGACCCUUAGUGGCUACAUCAAAUGCCAAUUUUGAAUUUGGCCCCUGAUUGGCCGGACUUAGACUUUUCUAGAAACACAUUUCCGGCCAAACCACGACACAGUGGUAGAUGGAAAGAUAGGGGAAACCGUGGAAUUGGGGCCCUUGAACGCCAGUUGGUCAGCCCAGGCCUGUGAACUAAAGGCAGUAAUGAAGGCUUUGCAGAUGCUAAAAGGGAAAGAGGGGACGAUCUUCAUGGACUCGAAGUAUGCCUUCAGGGUAGUUCACAUGUUUGGGAAGAUAUGGGAAGAAAGGGGGCUGAUUAACACCAGAGAUCAAGGGUUGAUGCAUGAAGGGAUAAUAAAACAAAUUUUGGAGGCCGUAAGGGAACCCAAAGCAAUUGCGGUCAUUCACGUAAAAGGACACCAGGUGGGAGUACAGUUUCGGACCCGAGGAAACAACUUAGUUGAUAAGGAGGCUAGAAACACGGCAUUGCUGCAGAUACAGCAGUGUGAACUGCAGAAAGAGGCUGGACCCACGUUUCGCAAGUAAAGAGUGUCGAACCGCGAGAAAAGGAACCUGAGUGGAAAGUCACUUCUCCACCUGGGGACUCCAGGUGGAGAAGUUACCUGAAAGUAACUCUGCAUCGUAGGCCAAGUAAAUGACCAAGAACGACUGAAUAAAAUGCUCAGAGCCAGUUUGUAA